UACGGAGGGUGCGAGCGUUGUCCGGAAUCACUGGGCGUAAAGGGCGCGUAGGUGGCCUGUGGAAGUCUGCGGUGAAAGCCCGGCGCUCAACGCCGGGUCGGCCGUGGAUACUCUCGGGCUUGAGCUUACUAGAGGCAGAUGGAAUUCCGGGUGUAGCGGUGGAAUGCGUAGAGAUCCGGAAGAACACCGGUGGCGAAGGCGGCUCACUGGCCCGGUACUGACGCUGAGGUGCGAAAGCGUGGGGAGCAAACAGG
rnacentral:rRNA from 1 species